AGGGUUUGAUCAUGGCUCAGAACGUACGCUGGCGGCACGCCUAACACAUGCAAGUCGAGCGGGGUAGCAAUACCUAGCGGCAGACGGGUGCGUAACAUGUGGGAAUCUGCCUUUUGGUUCGGAACAACACGGGGAAACCUGUGCUAAUACCGGAUAAGUCCUUACGGAGAAAGUUUUAAUGCCAAAAGAUGAGCCCGCAUUUGAUUAGCUAGUUGGUGAGGUAAAAGCUCACCAAGGCGAUAAUCAAUAGCUGAUUUGAGAGGAUGAUCAGCCACACUGGGACUGAGAUACGGCCCAGACUCCUACGGGAGGCAGCAGUGGGGAAUCUUGCACAAUGGGCGAAAGCCUGAUGCAGCGAUGCCGCGUGAGUGAAGAAGGCCUUUGGGUUGUAAAGCUCUUUUGUCGGGAAAGAUAAUGACUGUACCCGAAGAAUAAGGUCCGGCUAACUUCGUGCCAGCAGCCGCGGUAAUACGAAGGGACCUAGCGUAGUUCGGAAUUACUGGGCUUAAAGAGUUCGUAGGUGGUUGAAAAAGUUAGUGGUGAAAUCCCAGAGCUUAACUCUGGAACUGCCAUUAAAACUUUUCAGCUAGAGUAUGAUAGAGGAAAGCAGAAUUUCUAGUGUAGAGGUGAAAUUCGUAGAUAUUAGAAAGAAUACCAAUUGCGAAGGCAGCUUUCUGGAUCAUUACUGACACUGAGGAACGAAAGCAUGGGUAGCGAAGAGGAUUAGAUACCCUCGUAGUCCAUGCCGUAAACGAUGUGUGUUAGACGUUGGAAAUUUAUUUUCAGUGUCGCAGCGAAAGCGAUAAACACACCGCCUGGGGAGUACGACCGCAAGGUUAAAACUCAAAUGAAUUGACGGGGACCCGCACAAGUAGUGGAGCAUGUGGUUUAAUUCGAAGAUACGCGCAGAACCUUACCAACACUUGACAUGUUCGUCGCGACUCUAAGAGAUUAGAGUUUUCGGUUCGGCCGGACGAAACACAGGUGCUGCAUGGCUGUCGUCAGCUCGUGUCGUGAGAUGUUGGGUUAAGUCCCGCAACGAGCGCAACCCUCACUUUUAGUUGCCAUCAUUAAGUUGGGCACUCUGAAAGAACUGCCAGUGAUAAGCUGGAGGAAGGUGGGGAUGACGUCAAGUCCUCAUGGCCCUUACGUGUUGGGCUACACACGUGCUACAAUGGUAUCUACAACAGGAAGCAAGACUGCGAAGUUAAGCAAAUCCCUAAAAGAUACCUCAGUUCGGAUUGCACUCUGCAACUCGAGUGCAUGAAGCUGGAAUUACUAGUAAUCGUGGAUCAGCGUGCCACGGUGAAUGCGUUCCCGGGUCUUGUACACACCGCCCGUCACACCAUGGGAGUUGGUUCUACCUUAAGGCAAGGUUUCAAACCCUUGACCACGGUAUAGUCAGCGACUGGGGUGAAGUCAUAACAAGGUAGCCGUA
rnacentral:rRNA from 1 species